GAUGUGUAGGAUAGGUGGGAGGCUUUGAAGCGUGGACGCCAGUCUGCGUGGAGCCAACCUUGAAAUACCACCCUUUAAUGUUUGAUGUUCUAACGUUGGCCCCUGACCGGGGUUGCGGACAGUGUCUGGUGGGUAGUUUGACUGGGGCGGUCUCCUCCCAAAGCGUAACGGAGGAGCACGAAGGUUAGCUAAUCCUGGUCGGACAUCAG
rnacentral:rRNA from 1 species